rnacentral:rRNA from 1 species
AAGUGGAGCAAUCCAUGAGUAAAGUGGCGCACGGGUGAGUAACACGUGACUAACCUACCCUUGAGUGGGGGAUAACCUAGGGAAACCUGGGCUAAUACCGCAUAAUACCUUCGGGUCAAAGGAGCAAUUCGCUUAAGGAGGGGGUCGCGGCCGAUUAGUUAGUUGGCGGGGUAAUGGCCCACCAAGACUGUGAUCGGUAUCCGGCCUGAGAGGGCGCACGGACACACUGGAACUGAAACACGGUCCAGACUCCUACGGGAGGCAGCAGUGGGGAAUUUUGCGCAAUGGGGGAAACCCUGACGCAGCAACGCCGCGUGGAGGAUGAAGCCCCUUGGG